rnacentral:rRNA from 1 species
GAUGAACGCUGGCGGCGUGCCUAAUACAUGCAAGUCGAGCGAACAGAUAAGGAGCUUGCUCCUUUGACGUUAGCGGCGGACGGGUGAGUAACACGUGGGUAACCUACCUAUAAGACUGGGAUAACUUCGGGAAACCGGAGCUAAUACCGGAUAACAUUGGGACCCCAAGGGUUUUAAGGGGAAAGUGGGUUUUGUUAUACUUAAUAGAGGAACCGCGCCGUAUUAGCUGGUUGGUAAGGUAACGGCUUUUCAAGGGGACGAUACGUUGCCGACUUGAGAGGGUGGUCGGCCCCACUGGAACUGGGACACGGUCCAGACUCCUACGGGAGGCAGCAGUAGGGAAUCUUCCGCAAUGGGCGAAAGCCUGACGGAGCAACGCCGCGUGAGUGAUGAAGGGUUUCGGCUCGUAAAACUCUGUUAUUAGGGAAGAACAAAUGUGUAAGUAACUGUGCACGUCUUGACGGUACCUAAUCAGAAAGCCACGGCUAACUACGUG